GUAACGCUGGCGGCGUGCUUACACCUGCAAGUCUAACGAACCUUCGGGUUAGUGGCGGACGGGUGAGUAACGCGUGAGAAUCUGCCUCAGGAGGGGGACAACAGUUGGAAACGACUGCUAAUACCCCAUAUGCCGCGAGGUAAAAUGAAUUUCGCCUGAGGAUGAGCUCGCGUCUGAUUAGCUAGUUGGUGUAGGUAAUGGCUCACCAAGGCAUCGAUCAGUAGCUGGUCUGAGAGGAUGAUCAGCCACACUGGGACUGAGACACGGCCCAGACUCCUACGGGAGGCAGCAGUGGGGAAUUUUCCGCAAUGGGCGAAAGCCUGACGGAGCAACGCCGCGUGAGGGAUGAAGGCCUCUGGGCUGUAAACCUCUUUUAUCAAGGAAGAAGAUCUGACGGUACUUGAUGAAUAAGCCACGGCUAAUUCCGUGCCAGCAGCCGCGGUAAUACGGGAGUGGCAAGCGUUAUCCGGAAUUAUUGGGCGUAAAGCGUCCGCAGGCGGCCCUUCAAGUCUGCUGUUAAAAAGUGGAGCUUAACUCCAUCAUGGCAGUGGAAACUGUUGGGCUUGAGUGUGGUAGGGGCAGAGGGAAUUCCCGGUG
rnacentral:rRNA from 1 species